rnacentral:rRNA from 1 species
UCUCUACGGAAUAACUCAGGGAAACUUGUGCUAAUACCGUAUACGCCCUUCGGGGGAAAGAUUUAUCGGAGAUGGAUGAGCCCGCGUUGGAUUAGCUAGUUGGUGGGGUAAAGGCCUACCAAGGCGACGAUCCAUAGCUGGUCUGAGAGGAUGAUCAGCCACAUUGGGACUGAGACACGGCCCAAACUCCUACGGGAGGCAGCAGUGGGGAAUAUUGGACAAUGGGCGCAAGCCUGAUCCAGCCAUGCCGCGUGAGUGAUGAAGGCCCUAGGGUUGUAAAGCUCUUUCACCGGUGAAGAUAAUGACGGUAACCGGAGAAGAAGCCCCGGCUAACUUCGUGC